UCUGCACGAGUGUUUUGGAGUAAAGAUCUCCUAGAUACCAUAAUUUACAGCUUUCAACAGCAAAAGCAGGCGAGUUUAAUUUCACACAUUUCAGGGCAGCUUUAAAAGUACCUUGUUACACUUUCUACUAUUUUAUGAAUCCCGUGCAAUGCUUUUCACCCCAAGGAAAGUAAAAUGGGAAAAAGCCUCCUCUGACAGACAUUUAUACGCUUCUGGAAGGAGCCACAGAAAGCCGUGCAUCCUCCUCAUUAAAAAAAUAAAUAAAGACAAAGUGAGCAAUAUUAUUUUUGCUUUCAGAGAAGUCUCUUGGAGAUGUGAUUUAUGGACAAAGGGAUUGCGUCCAAGCCUCUGGCUAGCGAUGUUACGGGCUCGUGUUUCAGCACUCAUUUCCCCCCAGGAUGUACUCCGAUUGCAUAAAUUGAAUUUUCCCGGCCCAAAUCUGCCAGCUUUCUUGGAGAAAAGGCUGCGGGCGUUCCUCACCGUUGACCUUACACUCUGAGAGCCGAAAUUCCCCCAAAACCACGGAUCCCAGAGGACAAGACCCAGAGCAACCCCGAGGCAGAAACCCCCUCUGUGGUUUCAUCGCUGCCUCCCCAUCGCCCUACGUGGAAACGGAGCUGAAAUUCCAAAAAAAAACCCCGUCGGAGAUCCCCUGCUGAGCCAAGCAGCCCCUCCACCUCUCUCUCAUCUCCCGUGGGAUUUCUUGGAGGUGAAGUCCUGCCUGAUGAAACACGGAGCAAAUCCUCUCGUCGAGCCCAGGAGCAGUUUUUGGAAGCCCCUCCAGCCAGGUGCCUCUUCUAGACACAAAACUAGAGCAGGGAUGCUAACCUGACGGGAAAUCACUCCACCUGGCAAAUCAGAUCUUUAAAAACAGUUCCUAGCAACCUUUGGUACUCACCAUAUGCAAAUAAAGCUGAUGAACCAAACCCCGAGACAUUCCUGGCAGAUAAGAGCAUUUUGUAAUAAUCUCACAUCCCCGGGGGUUAUACGUGCGGCUCGGCGCAGGUUACGCUAGAAUUGAUAAGAAACGAAUGAUUCCUGGCUGCAUCCCCCCCCCCAAAAAAAAAAAA